CGUCUGCUGAAAUAUGUUGUACCCCAGCAGGCCCCUCUUCAGGUCCAGCGGGUUCUCUGUGUGGCUACUGCGAGGCGCUGCUGGCCUUCACACUCCAUCCCCUGCGCCCUCCUGUCAUUACAUCGCCUUUCCAGCGAAGGCAUUACUGCGAUGGUUAUGCGGCUUUUGAGGAGAGUAGCAGCCGCCCAUCGCUGGGAAGGACGCGCCUCACCCUGGCGGCCCUGCUCGGUCCCUUCCACGACUCGCAGCGAAAGAGAGAGGUCGAGGUGCGGUGGUCUCGUGGCGGAAGGCUGAAGGAGGCGGUGAAGGAGUGAAGGUGUGAAGUGUGCAGCUUCCACUUCAUCAUCCCAUGAACAGCCCACAGGAAUCUCUACCAGCACCUGGUUAUUAAACAGUGUUGUCACGCCAGGCCCAAUGUACUCCAUUGCAAUCAAAGAGUCAAGCUUCACCAGGAAAAGAGGCAGAGCGUCACCACCUUCAAGCCCCACAAGAGGUAUUAAGUAUCGUUGGGACAAAGCAAUCAGGGAAGAGUCAAGUUGCAGUAAGAAGAGUGUGUCAAGAAUUUCAAGCAGGAAGAACACGUAAAAUUCCCUUCAAGUCAUGGCGGGACCGACAGGCAACCUUCAACACUUGUGGAGGCACGAGAGCUGCAGGCAGUUUCACAAAGAAGAGGUUGCUCCUCACUCAAGUUGAUGCAAGGACAUAAGAAUUGGCAAGUGUUGUUGCUCCCAGGCCCUGCUGCAAGAGUUCUCCAGUCCACUCCAGUCUGGGAAGGAAAAAUAUAGCAAGUCCCUCUCUUCUGUAUUCAACAACAACCACCACCACGACCUUCAUUCAGGCUUGGGAUAAGUUUUGUACAUUCCAGCACUUCAGUAAUAAGGAAAAAAAGUGCCAUGUUUAUAUUAUUGUUGUGUAUUUAUUCACUUAACAUUCACAUUAAAACAAUAAACAUUCAGUAUACCAUCUUGAACAUAA